GGGGCUGAAUUUUAAGCUCGACGUUGGACUUUAUCGGUUAAAUCAGCAGGUCGCUUGCUUAGCGUUAUAAGGCAAAUUCAAAUAGAUGCAAAAACUUCUAUUAGCGAUGCAGUAAACAAAGUCCUUGCGACUCGUUUGCAGCUCGCACCAGCUUACGUUUAAUUUCGUAAGCCGUGCCGCGUGAGACACCUUGGUAUUACAAAGGCGCGUCAUAUUUCCAGGGUUGCUUAGUUGACCAUAUUCUAGUCAGCUACUAAGACUUUAGGAUUGCUGAAACGAAAUGUUUGUCUGUAUAGAUAAUCGUUUCAAAAGAUUUUAAAACAGACUAUGCCUGUAGAAGAUUUAACCAAAGAUAAACUAGCGGACGCGGGGGCAGUACCCGCCAGCUCCUCCA
rnacentral:tmRNA from 1 species